GUUAGUUGACUUGUCUGGAAAACAUGCAAGCUACCUUUCUUGGUCCCCUAGUUGACUUAUCUUAAGGGGGGUAGCCCAAUUAAAGAACUACAAUGAGAAGAAGUGGUUAAUGACUGGAACAUCGAUAAGGACAUCAAGUGCUGGGUUUGUUCAAAAUAUCAUCCCAUUUAGAGAAUACUAAUGGAAAUAUAUGUCAUUGCUGAUACUCAUGGAUUGAGAGUUAUGUUAUGAGGAUCAGAUGACACCAAAGUUUACGAAGCUAUAAUUGGGAUGCCAGAGUGAAACAACUUAACUGUGAUAAAGGUACCAAUA
rnacentral:lncRNA from 1 species